UAUGGCGGAUAUGAUCAUGCUCCGACUCAUUUAAACGCCGGCUGACCUGAAACAUAUGGAAUACAAUGAAGUUAUAGUAUAAAAAAAAACAUUUAAACAGUGAAAUACCUUAACUCUUGUAGCUUUGUCUUUAACGGUGGCCAUUUUGCUUCCCUGUGCCAUGCGUUUUAAACUCUUGGUGUUACCGUACCCAACUGUAACUGCGAUGAAAAGAUAAAAGAUUGGAUGAUGGACAUCUAAAUGCCUUGAAACAGAUAGCUUAUCUUGUUUCGAAGCCCUGCGAAAUGACCACAAUCGUUGACUAGCUUUUCCUUUCUUAUUUGACACACAGUGAAGAUGUCUGGAACAAAGAAUAGGGCGGAGAUUCCUGUUCAAACAAAGCCACGUAGUGCAACACGUCUUCUCUGAUCAGCUGUUUGUAAUAACAGUUGCACAUUUCCGGCGUUGUAACCUCUGGUAAUUAAUACGUUAGAAGACGAUAUCACUCGAGAUGAAAUAAACACCUCUUUUGUACGGGAUAUCACGAGUUUAACGAAACACGUAAGGAAAUGGAACUGAAGAUAUAUCGCAUUUCUGAAUUGGAAAAU